GCUGGGCAGGGUGGCCCAUGCCUGUAAUCCCAGUUGCUUGGGAGGCUGAGGCAGGACAGUCACAAGUUCAAAACCAGCCUCAG
rnacentral:sRNA from 1 species